UUGGGGACUAGUCCGGGUGGUUAGGCGUCACCUGUUACCUGAAACCGCCGUUAUGCGGGGGACGAAGUUUGAAGAGCGGCUUUGGCGACCUGUCCUGAGUGCAUCUUCCCCGACUGCGAAGCCUUGUCCUGUGAGAUCAGCGUAGAGCAAUUGAGAUUCCGGAGGGAAUUGAUACCUUUUAUUGCGGGGACCGGUUCAGGCCCGGAAGGGAGCAGACUUACCGUAAGCGUCUGGUGCCCACAGGGGUUGCAGGGUGGAGAAGGGGAAAUGCAUAAAGUUCAGGCACGUAAUUCCCACCUUCUUACGUGUCCCUGU
rnacentral:SRP_RNA from 1 species